rnacentral:rRNA from 1 species
UGCUAAUUCAGAGCCCACCGAAAGGUGUUGGUUGCUAUAGACAGCAGGACGGUGGCCAUGGAAGUUGGAAUCCGCUAAGGAGUGUGUAACAACUCACCUGCCGAAGCAACUAGCCCUUAAAAUGGUAUGGCGCUGAAGCAUUGUCCCGAUACUCGACCGCCGGGGCACUAGAGGCCACGUCCCAGAGGCGAGGUCUCGAAGCCCCGGUGAGUAAGAGGGUCGCAGUGGUGAGCGCAGAAGGGAUCCGGCGUGAGCCGGCCUGGAGCCACCACUGGUGCAGAUCUUGGUGGUAGUAGCAAAUACUCGAGAGAGACUCCCUUGAAGACCGAAGUGGAGAAGGGUUCCAUGUGAACAUCAGUUGGACAUGGGUUAGUCGCUCCUAAGCCCAAGGCAAAGGCCUGAUCCCACGCUAGCGGC